rnacentral:rRNA from 1 species
CCUACGGGGGGCUGCAGUGAGGAAUAUUGGUCAAUGGGCUUACGCCUGAACCAGCCAAGUCGCGUGAGGGAAGACUGCCCUAUGGGUUGUAAACCUCUUUUGUCAGGGAGCAACGCCGGCUACGUGUAGCCGGACUGAGAGUACCUGAAGAAAAAGCAUCGGCUAACUACGUGCCAGCAGCCGCGGUAAUACGUAGGGAGCGAGCGUUAUCCGGAAUUAUUGGGCGUAAAGGGUGGGUAGAUGGAAUAGUAAGUCUUUGGUAAAAAUGCUGGGCUAAACCCAGUAGGGCAAAAGAUACUGCAAAGCUAGAGUAUGACAGAGGCAAGUGGAAUUAGAUGUGUAGCGGUAAAAUGCGUAAAUAUAAGUAAGAACACCAGUGGCGAAGGCGGCUUGCUGGGUCGAUACUGACAUUGAGGCACGAAAGCGUGGGGAGCAAACAGGAUUAGAUACCCCUGUAGUC